CUGGAACAUUGGAGAUGAUAGAAGUGUGGUCUCUGAGGGUGGUGAAUUCAGAGAACUGUGUUGGACUCACAAACAGCCCCAUGCCAGUUUAGUCCUCUCAGAACAGCCUUGCAGCCUUCACUCGAAGUUCCUACAUGAGCAAAUGUUUUCUGUUGUCCCAGGGGGCAAGGCAAACCCUCCAUAGGCCGGUGGUGGUACACCUCUCCAGGCUGAAGGUUCUGGAUGAAGUGAUGGUCACCCUGGAGGAGAGGACCAGGGCUGAGCUACUCUGCACAGAGGCCCAGAUGAGAAACAAAACUGCCAACCACGCCCACAUUGCCCAGGCAGUGAGGACCUUCAGGCAGAUCAGAAGAAUGGCAAGCACCCUGCCAACCACCGGCCUCCUGCCGAACGGGUACAGGGCCCUUAUCACCUACCCCAACCAAUAGGACAGUAGAGCGGUGGUGCUCCUAAACCCGCAAUCAAAGCCCCCAGUACAGCAAUGGGAUGCUCCUGAUGCUCCUGUGUGUGCAAUUGCACUGACAGAGAAGUGGUGAGAAUGUUGUUCAACUCAAAUCAGCUGAGCUUCUGCUCUAUAGACUGUAUAUACAGUGCCYUGCGAAAGUAUUCGGCCCCCUUGAACUUUGCGACCUUUUGCCACAUUUCAGGCUUCAAACAUAAAGAUAUAAAACUGUAUUUUUUUGUGAAGAAUCAACAACAAGUGGGACACAAUCAUGAAGUGGAACGACAUUUAUUGGAUAUUUCAAACUUUUUUAACAAAUCAAAAACUGAAAAAUUGGGCGUGCAAAAUUAUUCAGCCCCCUUAAGUUAAUACUUUGUAGCGCCACCUUUUGCUGCGAUUACAGCUGUAAGUCGCUUGGGGUAUGUCUCAGUUUUGCACAUCGAGAGACUGAAAUUUUUUCCCAUUCCUCCUUGCAAAACAGCUCGAGCUCAGUGAGGUUGGAUGGAGAGCAUUUGUGAACAGCAGUUUUCAGUUCUUUCCACAGAUUCUCGAUUGGAUUCAGGUCUGGACUUUGACUUGGCCAUUCUAACACCUGGAUAUGUUUAUUUUUGAACCAUUCCAUUGUAGAUUUUGCUUUAUGUUUUGGAUCAUUGUCUUGUUGGAAGACAAAUCUCCGUCCCAGUCUCAGGUCUUUUGCAGACUCCAUCAGGUUUUCUUCCAGAAUGGUCCUGUAUUUGGCUCCAUCCAUCUUCCCAUCAAUUUUAACCAUCUUCCCUGUCCCUGCUGAAGAAAAGCAGGCCCAAACCAUGAUGCUGCCACCACCAUGUUUGACAGUGGGCAUGGUGUGUUCAGGGUGAUGGGCUGUGUUGCUUUUACGCCAAACAUAACGUUUUGCAUUGUUGCCAAAAAGUUCAAUUUUGGUUUCAUCUGACCAGAGCACCUUCUUCCACAUGUUUGGUGUGUCUCCCAGGUGGCUUGGGGCAAACUUUAAACAACACUUUUUAUGGAUAUCUUUAAGAAAUGGCUUUCUUCUUGCCACUCUUCCAUAAAGGCCAGAUUUGUGCAAUAUACGACUGAUUGUUGUCCUAUGGACAGAGUCUCCCACCUCAGCUGUAGAUCUCUGCAGUUCAUCCAGAGUGAUCAUGGGCCUCUUGGCUGCAUCUCUGAUCAGUCUUCUCCUUGUAUGAGCUGAAAGUUUAGAGGGACGGCCAGGUCUUGGUAGAUUUGCAGUGGUCUGAUACUCCUUCCAUUUCAAUAUUAUCGCUUGCACAGUGCUCCUUGGGAUGUUUAAAGCUUGGGAAAUCUUUUUGUAUCCAAAUCCGGCUUUAAACUUCUUCACAACAGUAUCUCGGACCUGCCUGGUGUGUUCCUUGUUCUUCAUGAUGCUCUCUGCGCUUUUAACGGACCUCUGAGUCUAUCACAGUGCAGGUGCAUUUAUACGGAGACUUGAUUACACAGGUGGAUUGUAUUUAUCAUCAUUAGUCAUUUAGGUCAACAUUGGAUCAUUCAGAGAUCCUCACUGAACUUCUGGAGAGAGUUUGCUGCACUGAAAGUAAAGGGGCUGAAUAAUUUUGCACGCCCAAUUUUUCAGUUUUUGAUUUGUUAAAAUAGUUUGAAAUAUCCAAUAAAUGUCGUUCCACUUCAUGAUUGUGUCCCACUUGUUGUUGAUUCUUCACAAAAAAAUACAGUUUUAUAUCUUUAUGUAUGAAGCCUGAAAUGUGGCAAAAGGUCGCAAAGUUCAAGGGGGCCGAAUACUUUCGCAAGGCACUGCAACUCAACUGCAGAUUACGUCCUUUACUUUGUUUGUUUAGAAUUUAUACAUGUGUUUAUUUUUGUGACACAAAAUGUGACGCAAACUGCUGUGUGGUUUGUCGAAACAUAUGUCUAUAUAUAUUUUUCAAGUAACGUAUUUUUUGGGGGGACCAAUGCAUUCAGGACCAAUGAACUGAUGAUACUUGAAUAUAGCUGAGUACAGUACCCCUAUGUUAGGUGAGUGUGGCAUGAACAACUGCCUGUUUCUAUACACAACUCUUAUUCUCCAACCAGUCACCACUGUAAUCUACUUAAUACUGUGAGGUUUGAAGUCACGUCCAUCAUACUCCUUUCCUCGCCUCCAAAACUGGAAAAAAUUUGAAAAACACCCACAGAUGCAAGGGCGUGUGAGGCUGGCAUGUUGUGUUCAUCGGGUCAAAUGGAUCCCCAACAAGUGGAUAAUCCAGCAUUAGCACACCUCUCUGUGGACAAUAAUCUGCAGUCACUCAGAUGGAGCCAUAACCUUGAAUGAGGUCCAAAUGGAUUGCAGAGAUCUGUCAGUUUCAGCAUGUUAGCCUCUUUUUAAAGACCCAGUCUGGUUUUCCCUCUAAUAUGUGUCUCUCCUGGACUGUUACUCCAAAUAAACCAGUGAUCUCUUGCAGUUGGCCCUUUGGUUGAUGUGCAAACUGAUUUACUUGCCAUUAUUGCCGUAUUCAUGUUACUCUUGCUCAGUACUAUAACUUUUACCAGAAACAAGACUUGUCCUCUGAUAAGUACCGUAUUUAAACGAAUAGUUCA
rnacentral:lncRNA from 1 species